rnacentral:rRNA from 1 species
AGACNNNGNCGGCNUGCCUAUACAUGCAGUCGAGCGCAGGAAGUCAUCCGAACCCUUCGGGGGGACGUUGACGGAAUGAGCGGCGGACGGGUGAGUAACACGUAAAGAACCUGCCCUCAGGUCUGGGAUAACCACGAGAAAUCGGGGCUAAUACCGGAUGGGUCAUCGAACCGCAUGGUUCGAGGAUGAAAGGCGCUUCGGCGUCGCCUGGGGAUGGCUUUGCGGUGCAUUAGCUAGUUGGUGGGGUAAUGGCCCACCAAGGCGACAAUGCAUAGCCGACCUGAGAGGGUGAUCGGCCACACUGGGACUGAGACACGGCCCANACUCCUACGGGAGGCAGCAGUAGGGAAUCUUCCACAAUGGACGAAAGUCUGAUGGAGCAACGCCGCGUGAACGAUGAAGGCCUUCGGGUCGUAAAGUUCUGUUGUAAGGGAAGAACAAGUGCCGCAGGCAAUGGCGGCACCUUGACGGUACCUUGCGAGAAAGCCACGGCUAACUACGUGCCAGCAGCCGCGGUAAUACGUAGGUGGCAAGCGUUGUCCGGAAUUAUUGGGCGUAAAGCGCGCGCAGGCGGCCUCUUAAGUCUGAUGUGAAAGCCCCCGGCUCAACCGGGGAGGGCCAUUGGAAACUGGGAGGCUUGAGUAUAGGAGAGAAGAGUGGAAUUCCACGUGUAGCGGUGAAAUGCGUAGAGAUGUGGAGGAACACCAGUGGCGAAGGCGACUCUUUGGCCUAUAACUGACGCUGAGGCGCGAAAGCGUGGGGAGCAAACANGAUUAGAUACCCUGGUAGUCCACGCCGUAAACGAUGAGUGCUAGGUGUUGGAGGGUUCCNCCCUUCAAUGCUGAAGCUAACGCAUUUAGCACUCCCCCUGGGAGUACGGUCGCAAGGCUGAAACUCAAGGAAUUGACGGGGACCCGCACAAGCGGUGGAGCAUGUGGUUUAAUUCAACCACCGCGAUAACCUUACCACCUCUGACUUCCCCUUGACCGGUNCAUAAUGA